rnacentral:rRNA from 1 species
CACGUAGGGGACGAGCGUUGUCCGGAUUCAUUGGGCGUAAAGCGCGCGUAGGCGGCUCGGAAAGUCGGGCGUGAAAUCCCUGGGCUCAACCCAGGAACUGCAUUUGAAACUCCCUUUCUUGAGUGUCGGAGAGGAAAGUGGAAUUCCUGGUGUAGAGGUGAAAUUCGUAGAUAUCAGGAGGAACACCGGUGGCGAAGGCGGCUUUCUGGACGACAACUGACGCUGAGACGCGAAAGCGUGGGGAGCAAACAGG